UUAUACAUGCAAGUCGAGCGGCAAGGUCUUCGGACCCUAGAGCGGCGCACGGGUGAGUAACGCGUACGCAAUCUGCCCUUCAGUGAGGAAUAGCCCUGGGAAACUGGGAUUAAUACCUCAUAAUAUUAUCUGUUCGCAUGGAUGGAUAAUUAAAGUUCUGGCGCUGAAGGAUGGGCGUGCGUCUGAUUAGCUUGUUGGUAGGGUAACGGCCUACCAAGGCUACGAUCAGUAGGGGGCGUGAGAGCGUGACCCCCCACACGGGUACUGAGACACGGACCCGACUCCUACGGGAGGCAGCAGUAAGGAAUAUUGGGCAAUGGAGGCAACUCUGACCCAGCCAUCCCGCGUGAAGGAUUAAGGCCCUAUGGGUUGUAAACUUCUUUUGUUUGGGAAGAAAUCUGGACAUUUAUGUGCAGUUGACGGUACCUUACGAAUAAGCACCGGCUAACUCCGUGCCAGCAGCCGCGGUAAUACGGAGGGUGCAAGCGUUAUCCGGAAUCACUGGGUUUAAAGGGUGCGUAGGCGGUUUGAUAAGUCAGAGGUGAAAGCUAGCAGCUUAACUGUUAAAUUGCCUUUGAUACUGUCAGACUUGAAUCAGGUUGAGGUAGGCGGAAUGUGACAUGUAGCGGUGAAAUGCAUAGAUAUGUCAUAGAACACCAAUUGCGUAGGCAGCUUGCUGGGCUUGAAUUGACGCUGAGGCACGAAAGCGUGGGGAUCAAACAGGAUUAGAUACCCUGGUAGUCCACGCCCUAAACGAUGUUAACUCGAUAUUUAUUCUUCGGAGUGAGUGUCCAAGCGAAAGCGUUAAGUUAACCACCUGGGGAGUACGUUCGCAAGAAUGAAACUCAAAUGAAUUGACGGA
rnacentral:rRNA from 1 species